rnacentral:rRNA from 1 species
GACGAACGCUGGCGGCGUGCCUAAUACAUGCAAGUAGAACGCUGAAGGCGGAGCUUGCUCUUCUGGAUGAGUUGCGAACGGGUGAGUAACGCGUAGGUAACCUGCCUGGUAGCGGGGGAUAACUAUUGGAAACGAUAGCUAAUACCGCAUAAGAGUAGAUGUUGCAUGACAUUUGCUUAAAAGGUGCAAUUGCAUCACUACCAGAUGGACCUGCGUUGUAUUAGCUAGUUGGUGGGGUAACGGCUCACCAAGGCGACGAUACAUAGCCGACCUGAGAGGGUGAUCGGCCACACUGGGACUGAGACACGGCCCAGACUCCUACGGGAGGCAGCAGUAGGGAAUCUUCGGCAAUGGACGGAAGUCUGACCGAGCAACGCCGCGUGAGUGAAGAAGGUUUUCGGAUCGUAAAGCUCUGUUGUAAGAGAAGAACGAGUGUGAGAGUGGAAAGUUCACACUGUGACGGUAUCUUACCAGAAAGGGACGGCUAACUACGUG